UACAGAGGUCCCAAGCGUUGUUCGGAUUCAUUGGGCGUAAAGGGUGCGUAGGUGGCGCCGUAAGUGGGGUGUGAAAUCCCGGGGCUUAACUCCGGAACUGCAUUCCAUACUGCGGUGCUUGAGGACUGGAGAGGAGACUGGAAUUUACGGUGUAGCAGUGAAAUGCGUAGAGAUCGUAAGGAAGACCAGUGGCGAAGGCGGGUCUCUGGACAGUUCCUGACACUGAGGCACGAAGGCCAGGGGAGCAAACGGG
rnacentral:rRNA from 1 species